rnacentral:rRNA from 2 species
AAUCCAUAGGUUAAUGAGGCGAACCGGGGGAACUGAAACAUCUAAGUACCCCGAGGAAAAGAAAUCAACCGAGAUUCCCCCAGUAGCGGCGAGCGAACGGGGAGGAGCCCAGAGCCUGAAUCAGCAUGUGUGUUAGUGGAAGCGUCUGGAAAGGCGCGCGAUACAGGGUGACAGCCCCGUACACAAAAGCGCAUGUGCUGUGAGCUCGAUGAGUAGGGCGGGACACGUGGUAUCCUGUCUGAAUAUGGGGGGACCAUCCUCCAAGGCUAAAUACUCCUGACUGACCGAUAGUGAACCAGUACCGUGAGGGAAAGGCGAAAAGAACCCCGGCGAGGGGAGUGAAAAAGAACCUGAAACCGUGUACGUACAAGCAGUGGGAGCACAGGUU